CUACGGGUUGCAGCAGUGGGGAAUAUUGGACAAUGGGGGAAACCCUGAUCCAGCAAUGCCGCGUGUGUGAAGAAGGCCUGCGGGUUGUAAAGCACUUUCGGUUGGGAGGACUGCUUCUAGCACUAAUAUUGUUGGAAGUUGACGUUACCUUCAGAAGAAGCACCGGCUAACUCCGUGCCAGUCAGGCCGCGGUAAUACGGAGGGUGCAAGCGUUAAUCGGAAUUACUGGGCGUAAAGCGCGCGUAGGCGGCUAGAUCAGUCGGGUGUGAAAGCCCCGGGCUUAACCUGGGAACUGCAUCCGAUACUGUCUAGCUUGAGUACAGGAGAGGAGAGUGGAAUUCCACAUGUAGCGGUGAAAUGCGUAGAUAUGUGGAGGAACACCAAUGGCGAAGGCAGCUCUCUGGCCUGAUACGGACGCUGAGGUGCGAAAGCGUGGGUAGCAACCAGGAUUAGAUACCCUUGUAGUC
rnacentral:rRNA from 1 species